GUGGCGUGCGUGGCGUGGCGUCCGUAAUGGAAAGAUGGAGAAUGGUUCCCGUUCCUUCCGGACCCGCUUGAGGGCGCACUGCGGCAGCGUGGGGAUGACUUGGAGACUCGUCUCGGGGAGGAAACCGCUGCUGUCUGUGACCCUGACUGCUUAGGUGGGAGCUGCGUGCGCUCAGCGUUUCCAGGGUCACUCUCACCCAAGCUGGAGCACAGUGGCACAUCACAGGACCAUGUAGAUUGGAAUAUUGGCUACCUACAGCUUUGCAAUGCAAUUUGAUAUCAGUAAUUGUUAUCGCUCUGUCACCCAGGCUGGAGUUCAGCGCUGCAAUCUUGGCUUAUUGCAGCCUUGACCUGUGGGGCUCAAAUCUUCCCUCAUCAACUUCCCAAGUAGCUGGGACUAUAGGUUUAUCCGUGUUGCCACAAAGGAUGUUAUGUCAUCAAUAUUUGUUGAUGGGGUGUAUUUUGUUGUGUCUGUAUGCUGAAGUUCCUUCAUCCCUUCAUCAGUUGAUGGACAGGUGCAGCCGUGUUGCGGGAAAGAGAAAAUGCCCUGAAUUUUGAUGGCUGAAAAGUAUUUCAUUGUGCCUGUGUCCUGGAAAUUCUUCAUCCCUUCAUCUGUGGAUGGACAGUGAAGAAGCUCUUCAUUUUGGGUCUGUUACAUGCUUCUUUUGUUGGCAGUGGUUUUGUGUUUACUCAAGAGAAAUACUAAUUUCUGUUUCUUUCCCUUGGCAGUCCAUCCGUGUUGCCGCAAAUAAUGUUAUGUCAUCAGUUUUUGUUCAUGGGGCGCAUUUCAUUGUGUCUGUAUGCCGAUGCUACUUCAUGUCUUCGUCAGUUGAUGGACGGUGGAGACACAGUUUCACCAUGCUCCUGACCUCAAGUGAUCUACCCACCUUGGCCUCCCAAGAUGCUGGAAUUACAGGUGUGAGCCACCGUCCCCAGUCAGCAGUGAUUAUUUUUGUAAGGUGCAACCGUGUGGUUCCCCAUGAUAUGAUUUCAUUGUGCUUUUCUGUGUGAAGAGUAUCCCGGUGUGUACAUGUGGAGCAGCUUCUUUCUCUCUUUGUCUGUGGAUAAGCAGGACCUGCUGAAGCGCACACCUGUGGACCACCCAGACUGCCUGCUGCUACAGGAUGCCCUCCGCAUCUCCCAGGACUUCUGUCUGGCAUCAGUGAGGACAUUGAUCCUGCUGGACUGCAGUCACAGUGGACUCCCAAGGGGCAGUAUACGUAGGUCACACAGUGUGUCAUGGAGACAGGAAAGACUGGGACAGAUGGUCACUGGCCCAUGGGAGCCCCGCUGACUCUGACGGUGGCUGAGGGGAAACUCUGGAAAUCCUCAUGGAGUAGAAACCAUCCAAAGCCCAGGUGAGCGGCAUCUGUAGACCCCAGGACACUUCAGCAUCCCAGCAAAAGGCAGCCUGGGGUCUCCCAUUCCCUGGGUGUAUUUUUUUUUAAUGUGUCUAUCAUAUAUGAAUUUGGGUUUGGUAUUUGGCUCCCUC